rnacentral:rRNA from 1 species
GACGAACGCUGGCGGCGCGCCUAACACAUGCAAGUCGAACGGAGCUGAGAGAAGCUUGCCUUUCUUAGCUUAGUGGCGAACGGGUGAGUAACGCGUGAGUAACCUGCCCUGGAGUGGGGGACAACAGUUGGAAACGACUGCUAAUACCGCAUAAGCCCACGAUCCGGCAUCGGAUUGAGGGAAAAGGAUUUAUUCGCUUCAGGAUGGACUCGCGUCCAAUUAGCUAGUUGGUGAGGUAACGGCCCACCAAGGCGACGAUUGGUAGCCGGACUGAGAGGUUGAACGGCCACAUUGGGACUGAGACACGGCCCAGACUCCUACGGGAGGCAGCAGUGGGGGAUAUUGCACAAUGGGGGAAACCCUGAUGCAGCGACGCCGCGUGGAGGAAGAAGGUUUUCGGAUUGUAAACUCCUGUCGUUAGGGACGAUAAUGACGGUACCUAACAAGAAAGCACCGGCUAACUACGUG